UUUCCCCCAUCAAAUCUCUACUCUAUACUUCAUACUCCUGUAGGUAUUGUUGUAUUCUAUUGAGUAUGGCUACUGCAGUAAGCUUACCUGCAGCAACUCCAUCAACCGUCAUCACAGACGAUCAACGAAGAUGGGUAGUCAUUGGAAUUUGUUUAAACAAACUUCUUACUCCUGUAUUGAGGAAUGUCCUUGGAAAAGAAGUUCUAGUUUGGUAUAACAGUCUUUGCUUAUCGCCCAACCAAAUUAACAAACAGACUUACAAAAAACAUGCAACUAAAUUACCGCCUUCCAAACUAAAGCUGAAUUAUGGAAAUAUCAACAAGAAUUAUGACAACCACAAGCUAAUAUAUAAUGCUUAUGAUUAUAACGUCCAAAAUCCGGAAUCCCUCGCCAAGUUAUUUGUCCAACCUUUCAUGGCAAAAUUCAGUGGAUUUGAUCAAACCAUGGACCUGUCUGGGGCACUAACAGUGAUGGGUGAAGCUGAUCCAUUUCACACUUCUGGAGCUGCUCUGCUGGCAAAUACCGUUCGUAAAGUUGUUAGGAAUGCCUGGGCUCAUUGUGAUUUUUCACACUGGAAUGAUGUAAAUUAUCGCUCCUGCAUACAACAUAUCGAGUCACUUGUGAGGAAACUGAAUUUACCUAGUGCUGAUGAAAACGAUUUUGUGAAUGAACUAGACAAUUGGAAAGAUAAAGGUAAAGUUACUUUUGGAAUAUUUUGUUUCUAGUUAAUAUAUCUUCAGUGCUGGAAACUCUCGAAAAUGACAACACCGCUUGCACAAGCGGCACUUCCAACACAAUAUAUUCUUUCAAGCUGCCGAAAGUGUACCCUGAGAGCGGAGCCUGAUUUAUUCCUCUCGUGUAGAAAAUAAGGCUCUGUCGUUUUUGUGUUUUUGUUAUUCCAAAAUUCUGGACGAAGUAAACCGGUAAUAAACGUCUAGUUCUAAACGGUGUUAAAUGCGCGCGCCUUCGUUUUGCAUGUAAACCGAUGACUGCAAUAUAUAUAUAUAUAUAUAUAAGUUUUCAAUCUUUAUUCUAGAUGAAAAAUUAAUUAUCUUUCUCCUUAUCCAUUGAUAUUUGACUUUUCAAAAUAACCAACCGUUAGGAUCACUUAGGUGGCAACACCAAUAUUCCAACCUGCCCAAAUUAUAAAAAAUUGUGUCUAAAGUAUUCUACAAUUCAUAUUUUACGCAGUCAGAUUAAAAACGAUGGCGCUAUAAUGUUGAGUUGUUCCUAAUUUGGUAUACAACUUCGUUUACAGUGCUAAAUGCAUGCAAAUCCCUCAAAAGACAAGGAAAGGGGCAUUUAAGCCCCCCCCCCCUCCGUAAUAAUUUUUCUGAUACUGAACGCAAAAAAAAUAUAUAAAAAUCAUACAUAUACACAUACAUAUAUUACACACACAUACACACAUACACACACACUCAGAGUAACAUCAAAAACAUUAUAUCCACCUGAGUACAUAACAUCAAAACACACACAAAAAUAUUGUGAUCAUAUAACACAUUGGCAUCGAAGGUACUAGACUUAGUUCCGAAAUACCUCACACUCGAACAGACUUGGUCUCGUAGCUCAGUUAGCAGAUCAUUGGACUAGUAUCCCAAAGGUCGCGGGUUUGAUUCCCACCGUGGUUGGACUAGUAUCCCAAAUUACUGAUACCAUUUUUACAUUCGUUUCGAAGGUGUGCAGUUAUGCUGUGGUCAGCCAGUGGACGCAGAUCUGCUUAAGCUCAUCACAACUGAAGUUUCUCAACUUUACGAUUCUUUUCAAAUAUUGCGAGAUGAGAGCCAGGAUGCACAGGUAGUGUAUAAGAUAUAUAGUUAAUAAGAUAUGAACAUCCUACUACAGAUCAGUUCCGCUUUAUAUAUGGACGAUUAUAAUAAUGGUUUUGGCUUUGUUGGCCGAUGAGGGGCUCAAUUUCAGUAUUAUGGUAUUUAAAUUAUUUAAUCUGAAGUUAUGUA
rnacentral:lncRNA from 1 species